ACCAUAUAUUGUUUAUACUGUAUGAUACAUGAUUUUACAGACAGGGUCACAAAGACCUUGGAACUAGGGAUGUAACGGUAUUAUAAAUUUCGUGGUAUUCCGGUAUCAAAUUUUCAAUGAAUUAUUGUGGUCACAUGAUUCGAUAAAACGUUAGGUCUUCCCGGCAACAAGUGUAGUUUUUUUUUUUUUUGACCAAGUGUAGCGAGCAGAGGGAGACGCGGGAACUACAAUUCCCUUAAUCCAUGCAUGCCACUCUGAUGCCUCUCUAAGAGACUAUGGCAGACAAUGGCGGAUGCGGCCAGUGGCGAAGGAAAAGAAACGCAAAUUUUAAAUUGGAAGUGUGGAAAAAUUUUAGAUUCGCUGUGACAAGAAACGAGAAAGGACAAAAGGUGACGGACAUACAAAAGUGAGUGUGAGUGAAUCCAUGAAUGAGGAGAAUGUGUAUGCCGCUUCUCAAUUGAAAGGCUGCAGCUUUCUUUGGCUGCAUACGUCAUUAAGCCUUGUUUAUUUAUGUUAACGGAACAAGUCAUAAGCAUAUUACAACAAUAUAUGAUUAAAUAAGAAUAAUAGUCAAAGUUAUAUUCUGAAAUAAGAUGGUCAUCAUGACGUAUGCAGCCUACAAAUGCGACAUACGGGGGCUGAAGCCUUCCAUUUGAGAAACGUCCUGUAUCAGUAAGUGAGCUGACAUAACUCAGCUCGAGGUCCAACUGCAAUAAACGCUUAUGGCAGUUUUUCCAAGUCUUCAUUUUUUUUGUCCUUCCUGUAAAUGGGUCAAUAAAUACUUUACCGUGGGUAUCACACCGAAAUAGCAUCUUACUAUGAAUUUUUGAUACUGUUACAUCCCUUCUUGGAACUGUUAAAAAAACGAAUGCAAAAGUUUUUGAGGUGUUUUUUAUUGUCCAAAUGUUCAAACUACCGUAAAACUUCAAAUAAUAGCCGGGUCCCAAAUAGACGCCUGUCUCUUUUAGACGCCUGGUGUGACGACAGGUUUGGGUAAAUAAACGCCUGUCUCAAAUAAAGGCCUGGUCUGUUUUUUAGUUUCGGGUUGUAUUUAAUCUUCUAAAACCCGUCAGAUAGUCUGUUUAAGACAGUUCUAUGGUGCAGAUUACACACGCUAAAGUUUUGAUUACCUGUAGAUGUCACGUAACAGACGCAGUCGUUCCGUUACUCAUCACUAUGACAACACAACGAGCUUCGUCGCCAGGAUUGAGGUGAUGAUGACAGUAGCGAAGAGGCAAUCGGGAGUCGGGACUUUUCCCUGUGGGCCGGUAGUGUUUUGAGGCCGCUGAUAAUAGCCGGGCUUUCAGUCUUUUGUCAUGCAUGCACUCCCGCCACACAUUGUAUUUCUCGCGCGGAAACACCAUUUAUCAUAUUUAAUAUGCUGCAGCGCCAAAAUGUAUCUGGCCGCACUGCUCUCUCUCUCUCUAUCAAGCCCGUCUUCCCUAGAGUUCUAGUCGAGCGAGCCAAUACAAAAAAAGAGAAAGAGGCUACACAAUAGCCAAUCAGAAAAUAGCACUGUUGUAUCUGGGUAAGAUUUCACGCAACAACCAAUAAAAAAACAUAUCCUUGUUUGCUAUAUUUAUACUGCCAAUAAUUUAAGACUGUUGUUAUUACACAAACUAAUUUGUUAAACACAUUCAAAUUAAAAAUAAAACGUAAUAUGUGGUAACCUCCUGCUGUCAUGCUGGAACAAUUAAAUUAAAAGCCUGUCUCUUAUAGACGCCUGUCUCUUUUAGACGCCUGGUGUGAUGAUAGGUUUGGGAAAAUAAAAGCCCGGGCUAUUAUUUGAAGUUUUACGGUAAUUAGCGUCGCACACCUGAAGUCAAUGGAUAGGUGCGUAGGAUAAGACGACAAAAAGUCUCAAAAUAUACAAAGAACAAUUCCCGCACACUAUCUGCUUGCUGAAUUUUUUUUUAAUGAAAGUUGCGUUGCAACGUUUCGAUCAACUGAUCUUAAUCAGGCAACUAGUGGCCUGAUGAAGAUCAGUUGAUCGAAACGUUGCAACGCAACUUUCAUUAAAAAAAUUGUCCAAAUGUUGACAUGCAGACUGCUGUUAGUUUUCAACAAUAAAAACCACAAGCACAUGGAAUACAUUGUAGAGCCCGACUGAUAUGUAUUUGGGGGCCAAUGGAGCUAGGAUUAUGACAAAACGUUUUGAAUUUGAAAUACAUAAACUUGAAUUAUAGACAGUAUAAUUUAAUAAAACUGAAUAGUUUGAUGGAUUUGAUUAAUAUUACUGCACGCCUCUUUUUUCCAGCUCGUGUUUUAGCAACUCGCCUAUAGACCAUCCCCUAGAAAUAUUCAGGGCAGUAACCGUCGAAAGUUUUCAACUGCGCGGAUGAUACCCAGCUUUACAUCUCCUCUUAUCCUAGCGAAACACACCAGUUCUGUAAACUAACAGACUGUAUUAGCGAUAUAAGUGACUGGAUGACACAUAACUUCCUUAUGCUAAACUCCAAUAAGACAGAGAUAAUUAUUAUUGAACCAAAUCGCUCAAAACAAAAUAUGUCAGAUUACAAGUUGCCCAUAGAUUGCUGCACUGUGGUGCCAUCUUCCACGGAACUUAGGUGUAGUGUUCGACAACAAUUUAUCCUUCGAUAGUCAUAGCUCCCAACGUCUACCGCACAACAUUCUUCCGUCUUAGAAAUAUCUCAAAAAUACGCCAUAUGCUGUCUGCAUCAGAUGCAGAGAAGCUUAUCCACGCUUUUAUGACCUCUAGAUUAGACUAUUGUAACUCGUUACUGGGGGAUGCCAUGCAAAUCAGGUAAACGAGCUUCAGCUAGUUCAAAACGCCGCUGCAAGAGUGCUUACUUGUUCUAAGAAGUAUGACCACAUACAGGCCAGCUGAGGGCCCCCCGUCCCCCCUACCCGUCCCCCCCUACUUUAGUAGUAAAAUGUAGUACUGACACUAUAUACUGACACAAAAUAACUUUUAUUUAUAUAACGUCAACCCCCUCUUUUGAAAACCCCAAAAAAGUCAUACCCAAAAAAAUUAGAAGACAGUUCAUGAAGCCUUUGCACUAAAAGCAUAAGCUUAGAACCAUCAAAACACAACAAAUAGUGGGAUUAAAACCAUGUUUUUGCUAAACUCACUUUAUAACAGAAUUCAAGUGUUUUAAAUAACCAUACGUGAGCUGAUGUGGCUUUGGAUCAUAAAAUGAAACUAUAAUAUAAAGUUAUUGUAUUCCACAGUGCUAAAGGCUAUGUUUAUAAGCGUUGCAUUAUAAUAAAUAUACUGUAUUGGUUAUUAAAAUACCCAACAUGACUGGAAGAACACAGAUAGACCAUAUAUAAUCCCAACUGAGUUUAUUGUCAUCUUAUUUUAAUCUGUCACAUUAUAUUGCAUUUUAACACAACUGAACCCAGAUAGCAAGGUGAUAUUGAUUAAAUGUUGAAAUUCCAUCAGAAUCAUCAUUAUGGUCAAGUUUGAAAUUUCAAUGCUAAAAAUAUUGAAUCAAUGUUGCUAAUGUAUUGCUUUCUCAAUGUUGAAAAUCCAAACAUUGAAUCAAUGUUUAUAAUACAUUUAUUUUUCAAUGUUGAAAAGCCAAACAUUAACUCAAUGUUGAUUUUUGGUCAGCUUAAUCUGCACACUUUAAAACAAAUCAAAUUGGGUGAAUUUUUGUGUAAUUUAGUGAACAUAUUUACGAUCCUAUAAAGUCCUGUUUAUUUUGUGACCUAAACACCUUUCCCCCCAGGACCACCAUCAGACAAGUUUUUUGCUUUUAUACAGCAAGUAAAAAUUAUCUGGUCAGAUCAUCUCUAAAUAUGUGAGUCUUCAAGAAGAUUUCAAAUGUAUGAUAAUUUUGGGGAAUCAACAGCUAUUUUAAAUAUGUUUAACAAAAAUGACUUAAAUGCCUUAGACAGAAAUGCCUUAGUUUACCAUCGUCAGAAAACGGCCAACUAAGUGUAUAUUAACAAAUAACAAUCAUAGUCAAAACUGAUAUUAUUAAAAUAUCAAGUCAAAACUGAUAUUAUUAAUAAUCACAAAUCAAUGACAUUAUAAUGUUUAUUUUAUUUUUUUAUUUUUUUAUUUCAAUUUAUUUUUGCAGGAAUUGGUAUGAAAUAAAUAACCUAACAUUAUUUUGUUGCUUUUAUAUAUCUUAUAGUGUUUGUCUAGCAAAUGUGCAUAUAAUAUUGUAAAGUGUUAUAGAAAAAAAAUCGUGUGAAAUUUAAAUUAACUUUUAUUUUCAUUUAUUGCUCAAUUAAUAAUUAAUAGCCCAAAGAACACAGUAUAUAAUAAAAAAUUCCCCCACUGACUAUUAAAUGCGCCACACCCAGUCCAGUAGGUGGCGGUAAUGACCCUUCAGUUGCCAACCGCCACUCAGUUUAGAAGCGCAGAGCAGAAGAACGUCAAGUUUGGCCGCGAAAGGACAACGACAGUGCCAGUGGGGUUUUAGAGCUCUGUAGAAGAAUUCGCUACACGCUCCCGCGUUCUUCCAUCCAAGGCAACACCGCAUUCCACUGGCCCCGCAUGCAUACAUGAUAUGACGGUCUCCACGGACGGGCGAGGAUGCCCACGCAAUGGUCUACAACGAGCCUCCGCUUUUUGCGCACACGUCUCAAACGAAAGGCCCAUCAGAGUGAUUUCCUGAGUUCUCUCACACAUGGUCAGCGAAUGGAUUAUCCAGUCACAGUACAUAAUGAAAGACUUGCCAAAGAUAGAAGCAGCUGAGUGAAUCUUCAGAGUGAUUCUUCAGAGAGAAGAUGGAAUGAAUGUCUCACAAGAACCAAUGAAAUCUGGGAGACCUCAGAGGAUGUCCUUGCUGUGACUGUGCAAAAACAGCUAUGUUAUGCCCGUGGCGUGAACGGAUUGGUGUUUAAAAGGGCCUGCAUUCAACAGUGUCUCUGUUUAAUGUGAAGAAAAUCCAUCGCAUUUGCAUCAGAGGAGGAGCUUCAGUUACUGAAUAGUCCUAAACAAUGAACUGUGGUAAUGUUUCAAUUACUAAAUGUUUCAAGAAGUACAGUUGUGUUUGUCUUUGAGUUUUGUAUGGUACCUGUAUGUGGUCUUUCAAAAAUUGAAUUGAAUUGAAAUUGAAUUGCUUUUCCAAAUUCAUUUUGCUGAUGUAUGUUUAUGAUGUUGUCUCAAUUUUCCAGAGUCCUCUAGUGGCAAUAAUAUUUAUAAUUUUAAUUUGUACUUUUGUAUUUUAUGGCAAAAAAUUUGAAUCAUACAAUUGUAUUUUACGAUAUACGUUUAAAUUUGCUCGUGGUAUUUAAUUUCUUGAGCGUGAUAUCCUGUUUAAACUGUGUGGGUGUAUUCAGGGCCGCCUUAACCUAAUGUGAGGCCCUGGGGCUGAGAGGUUUUGGAGGCCCCCCAUAGCCUCAAUUUAUAGUCUCAUUAAAAAAAAUUUAAUAUCUAGGUAAUCUACAUCACAAAAUGCAUUAGUUUCUUUCAAUACAUACAACAGUGAGUUUUUCCUCUUUGACCCAGAAAACACCAUAAUAUCAUUAUUAACAUAUCACUGAGCCCACUUGAGCAUAAACACAAGACAGUUUAUUUAACAACCACACACAGCAACUUGUGGUGAAAAUAAAACCAAAAUGUGUGAGAGUAUAUAUGUUUAUAAGCUUUAUGUUUAUAUAGUUUUUAGAAUAUACAAAUUUGCAGAAAAGUGCCACUCACUAACUAAAUGCUCAGCACAGUUUUAAAAAUAUAAGAAGUUAAAGUUAGUUUUAAAGUGAAAAUGCAUUAAUGUUAACAAAAGAUAAGUCUUAUAGACGGAAUCUUGUUUUUUAAUUAGUUAUUUAUUUUGUAGGCUAUUGAAGAUAUGGUAUGCAUUGUAUUUAGUAUUUAUGCAUACUACGCAUGUAAAACGAACACGUAUGAAUAUGCACAAAACAGACAGGGAACAUACAUGUAUAUAAGAUAGAUAAGGACAUUAUAAAUAUGAAUGGUGCGAUCAGGGGAUGAUCAUUAGAGAUGGUCCUGUCGCGCUUUGACUUGCACAUUUACCGUUGCGUCGUCUUUCUAAACCAACAGAUGUGAGCUAACAUCGCGUCAAACUACAUCGCAACAGCUGCACACGCGUCACUGAUAUAAACGCAAGUAAACUUAAACUUUAUAACAACGAACAGCAUUAAUAUGUUCGGGUACUCCUUUCUUUAUUUGGCGGCACAGUAUCUUGCGCACAGUUGGAGAGACUUCUGCAUGCCAGAGAAAGCACGAGCACAGAGAGAGCGAGCGCGCGCGCAAAGAGAGAGAGACCUGCACCUCAGUGCUUAUUAUGAAAUUUCAGAAAUUACUCUUUCAUUUGUUGGUGGAUAAUUUCCCGUUUCUCUGUCACACUCAGCCUAACAUGUAGGAAUGCCAAGUUGAAAACGCGCACAUUACGCGGAAUAGAAAAAUCUGUUACGUCUGAUAUUUUAUUUCACGGUAAGUUACCACGGACCAAUCAGCAGCCAUGUAACGUGCAAUUAGAGUGAUUGACAGAUAACCUGACGAGUUACAAAACAAUAUUAACGUGAACUUGGGAGGCCCCUGAACUUGAGAGGCCCCUGGGCUUCAGCCCAGGUAAGCCCGUGCAUUAAGGCGGCCUUGGGUGUAUUGCAAGUUAGUGACUUUUUGAUUUUAAAGUAUGUUAAUUGUAGCCCUACAUGGUCUCUGAUUUUAAAACUAGUCAAAACAGACUUGAUUUAGUAACAUUGAAUCCUGCAGUAGAUAAAGCUUGUUUUUUUUAUAUUGUUGCUAUAUUGUUAAUUAAACUAUUGAAAUGAUGUUCAAUAAACAUUGAUUUUAUAUCCA